AUCACUUCUUGGCCUUUUGGUGAAGACCAAGUGUAGUAUCUGUUUUUAUCAGUUUAAUUUUCUUAUUUUACAGACAAGGAAACUAAGACUCAGAGAAUUUAGGAACUCACAAUCAGUUUAGAGGCAAAGAGAUUGGAAUUUGAACCACAAAUCAUCUGAUACUAGAGCUUUUUGAGCUACACCGGAUGCUUU
rfam:Gorilla gorilla gorilla genomic chromosome, chr1, whole genome shotgun sequence